CAGAGACUGCAAGCGUUAUUCGGAUUCACAGGGCGUAAAGGGUGCGCAGGCGGCCGAGUGUGUGAGGCGUGAAAGCCCGGGGCUUAACCCCGGAAUUGCACCUCAAACUACACGGCUAGAGCAUUGGAGAGGGUAGCAGAAUUCAUGGUGUAGCAGUGAAAUGCGUAGAUAUCAUGAGGAAUACCAGAGGCGAAGGCGGCUACCUGGACAAUUGCUGACGCUCAGGCACGAAAGCGUGGGGAGCAAAAGGGAUUAGAUACCCCUGUAGUCCACGCCCUAAACGGUGCACACUAGGUCUUGGCGGAUUCGACCCCCCCAGGGCCCAAGCUAACGCGUUAAGUGUGCCGCCUGAGGACUACGGCCGCAAGGCUA
rnacentral:rRNA from 1 species